GAGGGGGGUUUAACCAGCAGGAACUGCUAACCCUUGCAUCUGAGUAUAAAACCUCAGCCCCCUUA
rnacentral:tRNA from 1 species